UACGUAGGGUGCAAGCGUUAUUCGGAAUUACUGGGCGUAAAGCGUGCGUAGACGGUUAUGUAAGUCGGGUGUGAAAGCCCCGGGCUCAACCUGGGAAUUGCAUUCGAGACUGUGUAGCUAGGGUACGGAAGAGGGAAGCGGAAUUUCAGGUGUAGCGGUGAAAUGCGUAGAUAUCUGAAGGAACACCAGUGGCGAAAGCGGCUUCCUGGUCCAGUACCGACGUUCAGGCACGAAAGCGUGGGGAGCAAACAGG
rnacentral:rRNA from 1 species